GACGAACGCUGGCGGCGUGCUUAACACAUGCAAGUCGAACGGAAAGGCCCUGCUUUUGUGGGGUGCUCGAGUGGCGAACGGGUGAGUAACACGUGAGUAACCUGCCCUUGACUUUGGGAUAACUUCAGGAAACUGGGGCUAAUACCGGAUAGGAGCUCCUGCUGCAUGGUGGGGGUUGGAAAGUUUCGGCGGUUGGGGAUGGACUCGCGGCUUAUCAGCUUGUUGGUGGGGUAGUGGCUUACCAAGGCUUUGACGGGUAGCCGGCCUGAGAGGGUGACCAGCCACAAUGGGACUGAGAGAGGGACCAGACUGCUACGGGAGGCAGCAGUGGGGAAUAUUGCACAGUGGGGGGAAGCCAGAGGCAGCAGCGCCGCGUGCGGAAUGACGGCCUUCGAGUUGUAAACAGCUGUCGCCUGUGACAAAGCGUGAGUGACGGUAAUGGGUAAAGAAGCACCGGCUAACUACGUG
rnacentral:rRNA from 1 species